GGUUAACGCUGGCGGCGUGCCUAACACAUGCAAGUCGAACGGUUCUAAGCGCGAGCUUAGGAUAGUGGCGAACGGGUGAGUAAAAGGUAGGAAUCUACCCCUUGGACGGAGAUAGCUACUGGAAACGGUAGGUAAACUUCGAUAAGCCCGAGAGGGGAAAGUGGUGAGACAGCCGAGGGAUGAGCCUACUCUCCAUCAGGUAGUUGGUGAGAUAAAAGCUUACCAAGCCGAUGACGGAUAACCGGUGUGAGAGCAUGAGCGGUCACAAGGGCACUGAGAGACGGGCCCUACUCCUACGGGAGGCAGCAGUGGGGAAUCUUGGACAAUGGGCGAAAGCCUGAUCCAGCGACGCCGCGUGGAGGAAGAAGUCCUUCGGGAUGUAACUUCUGAACUAGCCGAAUAAAAGGCCUGUGGACACACAGGAGAAGAAAGUAGGCUAGGAAAAGUACCCGGCUAACUACGUG
rnacentral:rRNA from 1 species